rnacentral:rRNA from 1 species
GAUGAACGCUGGCGGCGUGCCUAAUACAUGCAAGUCGAGCGAACAGACGAGGAGCUUGCUCCUCUGACGUUAGCGGCGGACGGGUGAGUAACACGUGGAUAACCUACCUAUAAGACUGGGAUAACUUCGGGAAACCGGAGCUAAUACCGGAUAAUAUAUUGAACCGCAUGGUUCAAUAGUGAAAGACGGUUUUGCUGUCACUUAUAGAUGGAUCCGCGCCGCAUUAGCUAGUUGGUAAGGUAACGGCUUACCAAGGCAACGAUGCGUAGCCGACCUGAGAGGGUGAUCGGCCACACUGGAACUGAGACACGGUCCAGACUCCUACGGGAGGAAGCAGUAGGGAAUCUUCCGCAAUGGGCGAAAGCCUGACGGAGCAACGCCGCGUGAGUGAUGAAGGUCUUCGGAUCGUAAAACUCUGUUAUUAGGGAAGAACAAAUGUGUAAGUAACUAUGCACGUCUUGACGGUACCUAAUCAGAAAGCCACGGCGAACUACGU